rnacentral:rRNA from 1 species
UGGGGAAUUUUGGACAAUGGGCGAAAGCCUGAUCCAGCAAUGCCGCGUGUGUGAAGAAGGCCUUCGGGUUGUAAAGCACUUUUGUCCGGAAAGAAAUCCUUGGCUCUAAUACAGUCGGGGGAUACGGUACCGGAAGAAUAAGCACCGGCUAACUACGUGCCAGCAGCCGCGGUAAUACGUAGGGUGCAAGCGUUAAUCGGAAUUACUGGGCGUAAAGCGUGCGCAGGCGGUUUGCUAAGACCGAUGUGAAAUCCCCGGGCUCAACCUGGGAACUGCAUUGGUGACUGGCAGGCUAGAGUAUGGCAGAGGGGGGUAGAAUUCCACGUGUAGCAGUGAAAUGCGUAGAGAUGUGGAGGAAUACCGAUGGCGAAGGCAGCCCCCUGGGCCAAUACUGACGCUCAUGCACG